rnacentral:misc_RNA from 1 species
GAUGAAGAACGCAGCGAAAUGCGAUACUUGGUGUGAAUUGCAGAAUCCCGUGAACCAUCGAGUCUUUGAACGCAAGUUGCGCCCGAAGCCAUCAGGUUGAGGGCACGUCUGCCUGGGCGUCACAUAUCGUUGCCCAAUGCCUAUUGCAGUGCAAUAGGAAUUUCUAGGGCGAAUGAUGGCUUCCCGUGAGCGUUGUUGCCUCGCGGUUGGUUGAAAAUUGAGUCCUUGGUAGGGUGUGCCAUGGUAGAUGGUGGUCGAGUUAGAACGAUACCGAUCAUGUGCAUGCUCCCCAAAAUAUGGCCUCUAUGACCCACACGCGUCUUUUGACGCUCAUGACGAGACCUCAGGUCAGGCGGGGCUACCCGCUGAAUUUAAGCAUAUCAAUAAGCGGAGGA